GGCCUCCCUGCGCUUACCAUGGGGCCUAUGAUCUCACAGUGCAUGUAUAGAGGGUUAACCUGCCCCAUCUACACCUCACCUAGGCCACUGUACCUGCUGUGUAUUGUGAAUGGAGACAUGG